rfam:Haemonchus contortus, ISE/inbred ISE, WGS project CAVP01000000 data, contig: Hcontortus_16183
GGCCCAAAUCUGAAGUAAGGUAGAUUAGUAAGAAUAGCUGAUCCUACUAUUCUACUGUACUUCGAAUUUGGGCCC